rnacentral:rRNA from 1 species
GUGUCAGCAGCCGCGGUAAUACGAACCGUCCAAACGUUACUCGGAAUCACUGGGCUUAAAGGGUGCGUAGGCGGCCCUGUAAGUUGGGUGUGAAAUCCCUCGGCUCAACCGAGGAAUUGCGCCCAAAACUGCAGGGCUUGAGGGAGAUAGAGGUGAGCGGAACUUAGGGUGGAGCGGUGAAAUGCGUUGAUAUCCUAAGGAACACCGGUGGCGAAAGCGGCUCACUGGGUCUCUUCUGACGCUGAUGCACGAAAGCUAGGGGAGCGAAGAGGAUUAGAUACCCUCGUAGUCCUAGCCGUAAACGAUGAGCACUAGAUCGGAGGGCCCCCUAUAGCCUUCUGGUCGUAGCGAAAGUGUUAAGUGCUCCGCCUGGGGAGUAUGGUCGCAAGGCUGAA